CAGCGUCACGAGUGGCAACCAUAUUUAUUGGGCCUAAAGCGUCCAUAGCCUGUUUGAUAAGUCUUUUGUGAAAUCGUUGAGCUCAACUUAACGUCGUGCAAGAGAUACUGUCAGACUUGGAAUUGGGAAGAGUUAGAGGUAUUCUGGGGGGAGCGGUAAAAUGCUAUAAUCCCUGGAGGACCACCAGUGGCGAAAGCGUCUAACUAGAACAACUUCGACGGUGAGGGACGAAAGCCAGGGGAGCAAAACGGAUUAGAUACCCGAGUAGUCC
rnacentral:rRNA from 1 species